GGUUUAAGCUGGUCUCUCAAAAAGGCAGGCUUUCUAUGCAAAUGAACCUGACUUUCUUGUCAUAUUAGCACAACUACUUAAAUUGGACUCAUUUUAAGUCAGUUUUUAUGAGCAGAAUCACUAGAUCAGCCUUAAUUUAAGUCAUGGUCACUUUAUAUCUCUUGCUAUUGAUGGCUGUCAUCCCUUGUAUUGACUCGCAGGUUGUGCUCACACAGUCUGAACAGUCAGUAGUUGUGUCUCCAGGUGGAUCAUAUAAACUGACCUGUGCCUGCAGUGGAUUCAGUGUGAGUGGCUAUUACAUGCACUGGAUCCGUCAGGCACCUGGGAAAGGACUUGAAUGGAUCAUUUUUUAUCAUACGGACUCAACUAAGAGCUCAGCUCAGUCAGUUCAGGGCAGAUUCACAGCAUCCAAAGACAGCUCGAAUCUCUAUCUGCAUAUGAGUCAACUGAAGACAGAAGACACUGCAGUUUAUUAUUGUGCGAGAGGUGCACUGUGAAAACUUUAAUACAGACAGCUGUUCCAAAACCAUCAACAA